GUCUAUGGCCAUGCCAACCUGAACACGCCCAAUCCCGUCUGAUCUCGGAAGCUAAGCAGGGUUGGGCCCGGUAAGUACUUGGAUGGGAGACCACCUAGGAAGACCCAGUGCUGUAGGCA
rnacentral:rRNA from 1 species